UGGUGCAUGCGCAGACGUUUUUCCGCGGUGUUGUUUUAGGUGAACACCGCGGAAAAACGUCUGCGCAUGCACCA